UACGGGGGGGGCAAGCGUUGUUCGGAAUUACUGGGCGUAAAGGGCUCGUAGGUGGCCAACUAAGUCGGACGUGAAAUCCCUCGGCUUAACCGGGGAACUGCGUCCGAUACUGGAUGGCUUGAGUUUGGGAGAGGGAUGCGGAAUUCCAGGUGUAGCGGUGAAAUGCGUAGAUAUCAGGAGGAACACCGGUGGCGAAGGCGGGUCUCUGGGCCGAUAUUGACGCUGAGGAGCGAAAGCGUGGGGAGCGAACAGG
rnacentral:rRNA from 1 species